rnacentral:rRNA from 1 species
CCUACGGGUGGCAGCAGUGAGGAAUAUUGGUCAAUGGUCGGGAGACUGAACCAGCCAAGCCGCGUGAGGGAUGAAGGUACAGAGUAUCGUAAACCUCUUUUGUCAGGGAACAAAGGCGUGGACGCGUCCCCGGAUGAGUGUACCUGAAGAAAAAGCAUCGGCUAAUUCCGUGCCAGCAGCCGCGGUAAUACGGAGGAUGCGAGCGUUAUCCGGAUUUACUGGGGUUAAAGGGUGCGCAGGCGGGCUUGUAAGUGAGCGGGCAAAGGCCGGGGCGCAACCCCGGCCGCGCGUUGGAAACUGGCAGUGUCGAGUUGGAGAGAAGUAUGCGGAAUGCGAGGUGUAGCGGUGAAAUGCGUAGAUAUCGCGCAGAACUCCGAUGGCGAAGGCAGCAUGCCGGCUCCACACUGACGCUGAGGCACGAAAGCGUGGGUAUCGAACAGGAUUAGAUACCCCAGUAGUC